CAAUACAUGGCUUAGUGGUUAGCAUGUUCGCCUCACACCUGUAAGGUGUGGGGUUCGAUUCCAUGUGUGUUCU